rnacentral:rRNA from 1 species
AUUGAACGCUGGCGGCAUGCCUUACACAUGCAAGUCGAACGGCAGCACGGGAGCAAUCCUGGUGGCGAGUGGCGAACGGGUGAGUAAUAUAUCGGAACGUGCCCAGUCGUGGGGAUAACGUAGCGAAAGCUACGCUAAUACCGCAUACGAUCUAUGGAUGAAAGCGGGGGAUCGCAAGACCUCGCGCGAUUGGAGCGGCCGAUAUCAGAUUAGGUAGUUGGUGAGGUAAAGGCUCACCAAGCCGACGAUCUGUAGCUGGUCUGAGAGGACGACCAGCCACACUGGGACUGAGACACGGCCAGACUCCUACGGGAGGCAGCAGUGGGGAAUUUUGGACAAUGGGCGCAAGCCUGAUCCAGCAAUGCCGCGUGCAGGAUGAAGG